GGUGAUGGGAUCAGUGGGAUCGCUGGUGUGGAUGGGAUCAUCACUGGGAUCCAUGGGAUCAGUGGGAUCGUUGGGAUGGAUGGGAUCAUCAGUGGGGUCAUGGGAUCGAUGGGUGACAUGGGUGGGAUCAAUGGUGGGAUCAAUGGGAUGGAUGGGAUCAUUGGGGUCAUGGGUUCAAUGGGUGAUAUGGGUGGGAUCAUGGCUGGGAUCAUCAGCGGCAUCCAUGGGUUCAGUGGGAUCAGUGGGAUGGAUGGGAUCAUCAGUGGGGUCAUGGGAUCAGUGUGAUCGCUGGUGUGGAUGGGAUCAUCACUGGGAUCCAUGGGAUCAGUGGGAUCGUUGGGAAGGGUGGGAUCAUCAGUGGGGUCAUGGAAUCGGUGGGUGACAUGGGUGGGAUCAAUGGUGGGAUCAGUGGGAUGGGUGGGAUCAUUGGUGGGGUCAUGGGAUCGAUGGGUGACACGGGUGGGGUCACCAGUGGGAUCAUCGGUGACAUCAGUGGGAUCAAUAGGAUCACUGGAAUGGAUGGGAGCAUCUGUGGGAUGGAUGGGAUCAUCAGUGGGGUCAUGGGAUCAGUGGGAUUGCUGGGAUGGAUGGGAUCAUCACUGGGGUCAUGGGAUCGAUGGGUGACAUGGGUGCGGUCAUGGAUGGGAUCAUCACUGGCAUGCAUGGGAUCAGUGGGAUCAGUGGGAUGGAUGGGAUCAUCACUGGGGUCAUGGGAACAUCAGUGGCAUCCAUGGGAUCAGUGGGAUCAGUGGGAUGGAUGGGAUCAUCAGCGGCAUCCAUGGGAUCAGUGGGAUCAGUGGGAUGGAUGGGAUCAUCAGCGGCAUCCAUGGGAUCAGUGGGAUCAGUGGGAUGGAUGGGAUGAUCAGUGAG
rnacentral:lncRNA from 1 species